CGGGUAUGUUAAUAGAAUCAAAUACACAAUGUAAAGAUAGAUCAAAGAAACCGGGAAAAUCAUGUAAAAGAAGUUCAUAGUAAGAUCUCAAUCUUUUAUAUUAAUUUUAACAGUAAUCUUUAAAGAAAAAGAAAAAAACAAGUGAGCAAAAAAAUCAUAUGCCUUUAAGAAAAAACUUGAGUUUAGACAAAAAAAUCCGGC
rnacentral:lncRNA from 1 species